GCGCCUGUAGCUCAAUGGUAGAGCACAGAGCUUAUACCUCUGCGGUUCUAGGUUCGACCCCUAGCAGGCGCA
rnacentral:tRNA from 1 species